rnacentral:rRNA from 1 species
AAAUUGAAGAGUUUGAUCAUGGCUCAGAUUGAACGCUGGCGGCAGGCCUAACACAUGCAAGUCGAGCGGUAGCACAGAGAGCUUGCUCUCGGGUGACGAGCGGCGGACGGGUGAGUAAUGUCUGGGAAACUGCCUGAUGGAGGGGGAUAACUACUGGAAACGGUAGCUAAUACCGCAUAACGUCGCAAGACCAAAGUGGGGGACCUUCGGGCCUCAUGCCAUCAGAUGUGCCCAGAUGGGAUUAGCUAGUAGGUGGGGUAACGGCUCACCUAGGCGACGAUCCCUAGCUGGUCUGAGAGGAUGACCAGCCACACUGGAACUGAGACACGGUCCAGACUCCUACGGGAGGCAGCAGUGGGGAAUAUUGCACAAUGGGCGCAAGCCUGAUGCAGCCAUGCCGCGUGUGUGAAGAAGGCCUUCGGGUUGUAAAGCACUUUCAGCGGGGAGGAAGGCGGUAAGGUUAAUAACCUCAUCGAUUGACGUUACCCGCAGAAGAAGCACCGGCUAACUCCGUGCCAGCAGCCGCGGUAAUACGGAGGGUGCAAGCGUUAAUCGGAAUUACUGGGCGUAAAGCGCACGCAGGCGGUCUGUCAAGUCGGAUGUGAAAUCCCCGGGCUCAACCUGGGAACUGCAUUCGAAACUGGCAGGCUAGAGUCUUGUAGAGGGGGGUAGAAUUCCAGGUGUAGCGGUGAAAUGCGUAGAGAUCUGGAGGAAUACCGGUGGCGAAGGCGGCCCCCUGGACAAAGACUGACGCUCAGGUGCGAAAGCGUGGGGAGCAAACAGGAUUAGAUACCCUGGUAGUCCACGCCGUAAACGAUGUCGAUUUGGAGGUUGUGCCCUUGAGGCGUGGCUUCCGGAGCUAACGCGUUAAAUCGACCGCCUGGGGAGUACGGCCGCAAGGUUAAAACUCAAAUGAAUUGACGGGGGCCCGCACAAGCGGUGGAGCAUGUGGUUUAAUUCGAUGCAACGCGAAGAACCUUACCUGGUCUUGACAUCCACAGAACUUUCCAGAGAUGGAUUGGUGCCUUCGGGAACUGUGAGACAGGUGCUGCAUGGCUGUCGUCAGCUCGUGUUGUGAAAUGUUGGGUUAAGUCCCGCAACGAGCGCAACCCUUAUCCUUUGUUGCCAGCGGUCCGGCCGGGAACUCAAAGGAGACUGCCAGUGAUAAACUGGAGGAAGGUGGGGAUGACGUCAAGUCAUCAUGGCCCUUACGACCAGGGCUACACACGUGCUACAAUGGCAUAUACAAAGAGAAGCGACCUCGCGAGAGCAAGCGGACCUCAUAAAGUAUGUCGUAGUCCGGAUUGGAGUCUGCAACUCGACUCCAUGAAGUCGGAAUCGCUAGUAAUCGUAGAUCAGAAUGCUACGGUGAAUACGUUCCCGGGCCUUGUACACACCGCCCGUCACACCAUGGGAGUGGGUUGCAAAAGAAGUAGGUAGCUUAACCUUCGGGAGGGCGCUUACCACUUUGUGAUUCAUGACUGGGGUGAAGUCGUAACAAGGUAACCGUAGGGGAACCUGCGGUUGGAUCACCUCCUUA